rnacentral:rRNA from 1 species
CCCGCCUUCUCAAAUCUCCCAUCGCGCCAAAUCUCUCCGCACCUCCUCCUACCAGAUCUCGCCGCCAUGGACGCCUCGCCCACCGGCGCCGUCUCCAAGGCGAAGAAGUACGUGGUGGGGCGCAAGCUCGGCGGCGGCCUCAGGAAGAAGGCGGUGGCGCGGUCCGUCAAGGCCGGGCUGCAGUUCCCCGUCGGCCGCAUCGGCCGCUUCCUCAAGAAGGGCCGCUACGCGCAGCGCGUCGGCAUGGGCGCCCCCGUCUACCUCGCCUCCGUCCUCGAGUACCUCGCCGCUGAGCUGCUUGAGCUGGCCGGGAACGCCGCCAAGGACAACAAGAAGUCCCGCAUCAUCCCGCGCCACCUGCUGCUCGCCAUCCGGAACGACCAGGAGCUCGGCAAGCUGCUCGCCGGCGUCACCAUCGCGCACGGCGGCGUGCUGCCCAACAUCAACCCCCUGCUGCUCCCCAAGAAGACCGCCGAGAAGGAGCCCAAGUCGCCCAAGAAGGCCCCCAAGUCCCCCAAGAAGAAACUCUUAAAAGUCAGAGUUGCA